rnacentral:ncRNA from 1 species
AUGCUCUGGAGAACUCUUAAAUGAGUGCCGAAGGUGCAAGGCAAGCCGACAAGGCCUGCUGAAACUCUCAGGCAAAAGGACAGAGGCGAAA